AACCUUUAGCCAAACAAAUAUUAAAGGCAACGCCUGCCCGGUGAAUAAUUAAACGGCCGCGGUACCCUAACCGUGCAAAGGUAGCGUAAUCAUUUGUCUACUAACUAUAGACCUGUAUGAAAGGCAAAAUGAAGGUCUAACUGUCUCUUAUAAUAAAUCAAUGAAACUGAUCUCCUAGUAAAAAAGCUAGGAUUAACCCACAAGACCAGAAGACCCUGUGAAGCUUAAACUAAACUACUAAACCCCAUAAUAGCUACUUUCGGUUGGGGCGACCUUGGAAAUAAAAAGAACUUCCAAACCAAAUGACUAUACUCAUACAAACUAGGCCCACAAGCCAAUAAAUGACCCAGUACAGCUGACAAUUGAACCAAGCUACUCCAGGGAUAACAGCGCAAUCUUCUUCAAGAGCCCAUAUCAGAAAGUAAGGUUUACGACCUCGAUGUUGGAUCAGGACAUCCUAAUGGUGCAGCAGCUAUUAAGGGUUCGUUUGUUCAACGAUUAACAGUCCU
rnacentral:rRNA from 1 species